AUACGUAGGUGACAAGCGUUAUCCGGAUUUACUGGGCGUAAAGGGCGUGUAGGCGGUCUUGCAAGUCAGAAGUGAAAUUCCUGAGCUCAACUCGGGCGCUGCUUCUGAAACUGCAGGACUUGAGUGCUGGAGGGGGUAGCGGAAUUCCUAUUGGAGUGGUAAAAUGCGCAGAUAUUAGGAAGAACACUGGUGGCGAAGGCGGCUAUCUGGACAGUAACUGACGCUGAGGCGCGAAAGCGUGGGGAGCAAACAGGAUGAGAUACCCUGGUAUUCCACGCCGUAAACGAUGAAUACUAGGUGUAGGGGGUAUCGACUCCCUCUGUGCCGCAGUUAACACAAUAAGUAUUCCGCCUGGGGAGUACGGCCGCAAGGUUGAAACUUAAAUGAAUUGGCGGGG
rnacentral:rRNA from 1 species